AACAUCGCGCACCUGCGGGAACCUGCGGAAGGAUCAUUACUGAGUCACGUGCUCAAACAACCCUUCUGUGGACCUGAAAUAAAACCGUUGCCUCGGCGGGCGGUCCCCCCCAAACCAACCCCACGUGGUGGGUUAGGGGAGACCAGACAGUCCGGUACGCUUAAGGCGUCCGGCGCCAGCCGCUGGCCCCAGACAAUUAAACUCUAGUAAUCUUUACCUUCUGAGUUUCAAUAUUUAAAA
rnacentral:misc_RNA from 1 species